AGAGAAGCGCCAGAUCCCUUUGGGAUGACGAGGAAGGCAGUUAUCGAAAAUUCGGCGGGAGCUGUCUGGGUUCACAGCCCUAGUAUUAGACAAAACACAGGAGCAAUUCUGUGGACAGAGAAUAUA
rnacentral:ncRNA from 1 species